GUCUACGGCCAUACCACCCUAAACACGCCCAAUCUCAUCUGAUUUUGGAAGCUAAGCAGGGUCGGGCCUGGUUAGUACUUGGACGGGAGAGAGGUCUUCCAUCCUCU
rnacentral:rRNA from 1 species